rnacentral:rRNA from 1 species
GUCAAAAAAUUCUUCAUAAUAUUAUCAAUCAAACCAUUAUCAAUUAAUACAUUUGUCCUAAUAACCCAUACACUUAGUACCGCAAGGGAACAAAAACUUCUACCUAGUAAAGUAAACUCUUUUACCUUUUGUAUUAUGGUUUAACAACCUCCCACUAUUAUAUACCUUUUCCCGAAGUUUAAGAGAGCUGCUUAUCUCCUGCUACGCGCCAAAUUUUUUAUAUUAAAAUAUGAUAAUCAGAGAGAUAGGCAGAGGCUACAUACCUUUCGCGCUAAACCAUGGCUGGAUUUUCAUUAAACUUAUCAAAGUAAGACAAACAGCUCUGCUGUUAUGUUAAAUAUAAGAGGAUAAGCUCUUAUCUAAAAUCAAUAAACAAUUAACCUAACAUCAUUUUUAUAGGCUUAGAAUCAGCCAAUAACCAUAACGUUCUAGUUACAAUACCAAAAUAAAACUAUCCCUUACCCUUUAUGAAAGAAAAAGUGAAAACCUUUGAGAACUCCAAACUCAUUUUCUAUUCUGUUAAAAUUAGUAUUAAAACAAUUAAUAGGCUAUCACAAGAUAUCCUUUAAUAAACCAAAACAAAACAUAUAAAAAUAAAGAACUCGGCAAACCAAAACUCCGGCUGUUUACCAAAAACAUCGCCUUUAGUCUUUCUAUUAAAGGUCCAUUCUGCCCUAUGAAACUAUUUAAAUGGCCGCGGUACCCUGACCGUGCAAAGGUAGCAUAAUAAUUUGCCUCUUAAUUAGAGGCUGGAAUGAAUGAAUAUACGAGAGUUUAGCUGUUUCAUUUUUACUUCUAAAAAUUAUCCUUUAAGUGAAGAGACUUAAAUAAAAUAAAAAGACAAAAAGACCCUAUUGAGCUUUAUUUCAUAAGUUAAACUUCUAUAGCCUAUGCAAAAGAACCUUACCUAUAGAAAUUUUGUUGGGGCGACAAGAGAAGACCUAAAUCUUCUCUAUACUACAAGAAUAUUCCUCUACUAAUGAUCCGUAAUAAACGAUUAACAGAACCAGCUACCAUAGGGAUAACAGGCUAAUCUUCUUUGAGAGCCCAAAUUGACAAGAAGGAUUGGCACCUCGAUGUUGGCUUAGGAUACCUGAUAGAUGCAGAAGUCUUUCAAGUGGGUUUGUUCAACCUUUAAUAUCCUACAUGAGCUGAGUUCAGACCGGCGUAAGCCAGGUUAGUUUCUAUCUUUUACUAAAAAACUACUAAUAGUACGAAAGGACCUUAGCUAGUCAAAUAAUUUGCUUAAACGAAACCAUAUAAUAAAUCCUUAAUAUUAUAAAUCUAAUAUGUUGGCAGACUAGUGCACUUGAUUUAGGCUC